UCCCCGGGGUCUCUCCAGAGUCGCCGCGGGACCCGCCAGGUCUUCUGGGCGUGUGAGAGCGGGUCGGUGACAGCCUCCGUUCUCUGGGCCGAACUGCUGCUGCGGACUCGUCCCAACCAGAAGGAUGAGGGCAUUUGUUCCAGGACCUGCUGCAGAUACCAGAAUCCGUGGGUGCUCAAGUCCCAUAGUCAGCCCUCCGAUUCGUGGUUCCGCAUUCAUGGAUUUAACCAUUUGCGUAUCUUGUAGUACAGCAAUAUUUUUUUUAAUUUGCAUGUAAGUGGAUCCAUGCAGUCCAAACCCAUGUUGUUCAAGGGUCAACUCUGUAACUAUAAUACAGUAUGAAAACCAGGUACACAUUGGUACAA